rnacentral:rRNA from 1 species
GAUGAACGCUGGCGGCGUGCCUAAUACAUGCAAGUCGAACGAGUUCUUCGGAACUAGUGGCGGACGGGUGAGUAACACGUUGGUACCUACCCCGAAGUGGGGAAUAACUGGCCGAAAGGUCGGCUAAUACCGCAUAAUACCGUAAGGUUAAAGCAGUAAUGCGCUUCGGGAGGGGCCUGCGUCUGAUUAGCUAGUUGGUAGUGUAAUGGACUACCAAGGCGACGAUCAGUAGCUGGAUCGAGAGGUUGACCAGCCACACUGGGACUGAGAUACGGCCCAGACUCCUACGGGAGGCAGCAGGAAGGAAUCUUGCACAAUGGACGAAAGUCUGAUGGAGCAACGCCGCGUGCAGGAUGACGGCCUUCGGGUUGUAAACUGCUUUUAUAUGGGAAGAUUAUGACGGUACCAUAUGAAUAAGGACCGGCUAACUACGUGCCAGCAGCCGCCUUAA